UACGAAGGGGGCUAGCGUUGCUCGGAAUCACUGGGCGUAAAGGGUGCGUAGGCGGGUCUUUAAGUCAGAGGUGAAAUCCUGGAGCUCAACUCCAGAACUGCCUUUGAUACUGAGGAUCUUGAGUUCGGGAGAGGUGAGUGGAACUGCGAGUGUAGAGGUGAAAUUCGUAGAUAUUCGCAAGAACACCAGUGGCGAAGGCGACUACCUGGCCUGUUUCUUGACGCUGAGGCGCGAAAGCUAGGGGAGCAAACGGG
rnacentral:rRNA from 1 species